GAAGGCGCAGUUAAAAGAGGCUCAACAACAACAAAAGGCCAAUGUGGAUGUCUAUCGAAAGGAACAACCAUCAUUCGUCUUGGGUGAUAAGGUAUGGCUACUUCGUCGUAAUAUCAAGGUUACUUGUCCUUGUGAAAAGUUGGACUAUCGAAGGCUGGGACCAUUUUCUAUUUCUGUACAAAUCAAUCCAGUUGCAUAU
rnacentral:lncRNA from 1 species